rnacentral:tRNA from 1 species
GGAAAGAUGCGAGAGCGGUCGAAUCGGGCGGUCUCGAAAACCGUUGAACUGAAAAGUUCCGGGGGUUCGAAUCCCCCUCUUUCCG